AUGAGGUAUACACUGAUUAUGCAUUGGAUAUGGGUGCUUGUUGUCUGGUGUCCCACGUACGUGAGUGCUGACCAUGUCAGUCGCAUGGACCUGAUUAAGUUCUGUGCUGCAGAUUGUGACAGUGUGUUGCUGGUCAUGCACACAUCCUUACAAGAUAUGCCGUAUCGGCGCCAAGCUCGAUGUGCUAUGCCCGUGGUGGGUAGUCCUGACCAACAGCUCCAGGUACCGGAGCUGUUGGCCAUAAUCUGCACGCUGCCCUCUCGUCAUUGCCUAAUUGGUUAUCAUUGCUUGAUAGAGGAAUUCUGUAUUUCUCCUCAGGCAGAGCACCAUGGGAAGCUCUUUGGCAAAAGUACAAAAUUAUUUUUCUUUUAA
rnacentral:rRNA from 1 species